CAGAGUGGCCACUUCAAAGGCAGCUGGCUCAGGAUUUCUGGGGACUGAAGUCCCCAGGUCAUAAAGAGGCCCCUGUUCUACAACUGUGUGUGUUUCACUCGUUUUCUCCUACUUCCAGUUCCACAUGUCAUAUGCCGACAAGGAGCGCUAUGAGAACGAAGAAAGGCCCGAGGGCCAAAGGCAGAUCCUCCUAGAGAUGGCCCGGAAGUUGCCAGUUUGCACAAGAACAGGGAAUGGCGCCAUUCGAUUCUGUGACAGAUGUCAGCUCAUCAAACCUGACCGUUGUCACCAUUGCUCAGUUUGCGCUGUAUGUGUGUUAAAAAUGGACCAUCACUGCCCAUGGUAAGGACUUUUGACCACCAUUUCAUAAAUCUAUCACAUAUACAUUAAAGUGUUUCAGGGACAGAAG